GUAGCCCAACUAAUUAGGGUAACAGAAACGCAACUCUUGCCCCUAUCCAAAUCCAAAAGAGAGAGCGAGCGAAAGAAAAAACUUGCAUUUUCAUCGGCUGUGAAGAUAAACGAAUCACUCGAUUGAAAGAUCUUAGUGCAGUCAUGGCUGAAGAAGAGAAUCAGAACGAAUUAAAGGAGGAGGUGACUGACAUAGCUCCUUUUGAUCCUACAAAAAAGAAGAAAAAGAAGAAGGUUGUAAUUCAAGAUCCUGCAGAUGACUCUGUUGAUAGCUUGGCUGAGAAAACUGAGAAUUUAACUGUUUCUGAGGGCCUUGAUGCUACGUUUUCUGGUAAAAAGAAGAAGAAGAAGCCGGCACACACUGAUCUCCUGAGUGAUGAGAAGGAAAGUGUCGGCGAAGAUGUGGAAGAUCACCUUGGAGAUGAUGAAGCUGCUGGAGAAAUUGUCCUACAACAAUAUCCUUGGGAGGGAACUGAUCGAGAUUAUGAAUAUGAGGAGCUUCUGGGUAGAGUAUUCAACAUUCUCCGCGAGAAUAAUCCUGAACUUGCUGGAGAUAGGCGUAGGACAGUUAUGAGGCCUCCUCAAGUUCUUCGUGAAGGCACAAAGAAAACUGUGUUUGUGAAUUUCAUGGAUCUUUGCAAGACGAUGCAUAGGCAGCCAGAGCAUGUUAUGACUUUCUUGCUGGCUGAAAUGGGGACUAGUGGAUCACUUGAUGGGCAGCAAAGAUUGGUCAUCAAGGGAAGAUUUGCUCCAAAGAAUUUUGAAGGAAUCCUCCGGCGAUACGUCAAUGAGUAUGUCAUUUGCAAUGGAUGUAAAAGUCCAGAUACUAUCCUUUCUAAGGAGAACCGUCUAUUCUUCCUCAGAUGUGAGAAGACCAUGGGAUACAGGAUGUGUACAGUGUAGAAACUGUUCCUCUUUGGGCUUUCACAGAUGCAAGUGCCUGCUGCUUCUUGGCUACUUGUUAGGCAUCCUGUGAUGGAACGUGACCGUAUCAUGUUGUCAGAUCAUACGCCUAAUGCGGUUCUGGAAGAUCAGUUGCUCCUAUCAAGGCUGGUUUCGUUGCUCGUGUUGGCAGGCGGAAAGCUGGGACUUAAGCCGGCUUUGUUAAGUUUUGUAUGGUAUGCUUUGUGUUUAACUGAGAGAUGAUAUUGACAUGUGGUGCAACUUUGCUUAUGAAGAGAGCUAAUCUAGAUUCAAUCUUACACGUUUCGAUAUACUAACAUAUACAAUGACUUGAUUUGAUGGCA